rnacentral:rRNA from 1 species
GACGAACGCUGGCGGCGUGCUUAACACAUGCAAGUCGAACGAGGCCCGCUCUUCGUGGUGGGUUCUAGUGGCGAACGGGUGAGUAACACGUGGGCAACCUGCCCCUGGCUCUGGGAUAACUCCAAGAAAUUGGGGCUAAUACCGGAUAUGUCCGCUGACCGCAUGGUCUGGUGGUGGAAAGGUUUUUCCGGCUGGGGAUGGGCCCGCGGCCUAUCAGCUUGUUGGUGGGGUAGUGGCCUACCAAGGCGACGACGGGUAGCCGGCCUGAGAGGGUGACCGGCCACACUGGGACUGAGACACGGCCCAGACUCCUACGGGAGGCAGCAGUGGGGAAUAUUGCGCAAUGGGCGAAAGCCUGACGCAGCGACGCCGCGUGGGGAUGACGGCCU